rnacentral:rRNA from 1 species
GAUGAACGCUGGCGGCGUGCCUAAUACAUGCAAGUCGAGCGAACAGACGAGGAGCUUGCUCCUUUGACGUUAGCGGCGGACGGGUGAGUAACACGUGGGUAACCUACCUAUAAGACUGGGAUAACUUCGGGAAACCGGAGCUAAUACCGGAUAAUAUUUCGAACCGCAUGGUUCGAUAGUGGAAGAUGGCUCUGCUAUCACUUAUAGAUGGACCUGCGCCGUAUUAGCUAGUUGGUAAGGUAACGGCUUACCAAGGCAACGAUACGUAGCCGACCUGAGAGGGUGAUCGGCCACACUGGAACUGAGACACGGUCCAGACUCCUACGGGAGGCAGCAGUAGGGAAUCUUCCGCAAUGGGCGAAAGCCUGACGGAGCAACGCCGCGUGAGUGAUGAAGGUCUUCGGAUCGUAAAACUCUGUUAUUAGGGAAGAACAAACGUGUAAGUAACUGUGCACGUCUUGACGGUACCUAAUCAGAAAGCCACGGCUAACUACGUG